rnacentral:rRNA from 1 species
CCUACGGGGGGCUGCAGUGAGGAAUAUUGGUCAAUGGACGAGAGUCUGAACCAGCCAAGUAGCGUGAAGGAUGACUGCCCUAUGGGUUGUAAACUUCUUUUAUAUGGGAAUAAACUGUUCCACGUGUGGGAUUUUGUAUGUACCAUAUGAAUAAGGAUCGGCUAACUCCGUGCCAGCAGCCGCGGUAAUACGGAGGAUCCGAGCGUUAUCCGGAUUUAUUGGGUUUAAAGGGAGCGUAGGUGGAUUGUUAAGUCAGUUGUGAAAGUUUGCGGCUCAACCGUAAAAUUGCAGUUGAAACUGGCAGUCUUGAGUACAGUAGAGGUGGGCGGAAUUCGUGGUGUAGCGGUGAAAUGCUUAGAUAUCACGAAGAACUCCGAUUGCGAAGGCAGUUCACUGGACUGCAACUGACACUGAGGCUCGAAAGUGUGGGUAUCAAACAGGAUUAGAUACCCGUGUAGUC